UACGUAGGGGGCAAGCGUUGUCCGGAAUCAUUGGGCGUAAAGAGCGUGUAGGCGGUCCGGUAAGUCGGCUGUGAAAGUCCAGGGCUCAACCCUGGGAUGCCGGUCGAUACUGCCGGACUAGAGUUCGGAAGAGGCGAGUGGAAUUCCCGGUGUAGCGGUGAAAUGCGCAGAUAUCGGGAGGAACACCUAUGGCGAAGGCAGCUCGCUGGGACGUUACUGACACUGAGGCGCGAAGGCGUGGGGAGCGAACGGG
rnacentral:rRNA from 1 species